GCGCGAAACCUCCGCAAUGGGCGAAAGCCCGACGGGGUUAGUCCGAGUGGCCUCUGCUGAAGGGGCCUUUUGCCAGCUGUAAAAAGGCUGGAGAAUAAGGGGUGGGCAAGUCUGGUGUCAGCCGCCGCGGUAAUACCAGCACCCCGAGUGGUCGGGACGAUUAUUGGGCCUAAAGCAUCCGUAGCCGGCUUAGCAAGUCCUCCGUUAAAUCCAACGGCUUAACC
rnacentral:rRNA from 1 species